GGACUCCGCGGUGCCGGCCGACCCGGAAGCAUGUCUGUCCCUAGCGGAGGCGCGGGUGCCGUGCUGAGAGCGCCUGCCUGUGCGCCCCGAGCGGGGCUGGGACUCUUCCAAGAUGCCCACGUUCGCACAGAGACCCCGGAUCGCGGAAGCUCGCGUCUCGAAAGGCCUGUGGGUCAAGGGGGGCCAUCUCGGUGGGAUCUGGGGCGGGACGACCCCCACUGCUGAACCCUGGGCGCGGGGCAGGGUCAGAGGCUCCGCUCGGCCUCCCCCUGGAUGAGACGCGCAUGCCCGGUGUCCCCCGGCCGCCGUCGGCGUCGUGUCUUCAGUCCUUAUCGACUCCAGACUUUGGGGAUGCGUAUUAACGCCAGACUCCUGCAAAGUCUUGCCUUCAACACUCAGCCCCUGGGGAGAGACGGGUGGAGGGAUGACUGGAAACGUGGCCUCGACGUCCCUACAGAGCCCCUCCAGCGUGGGGAGGCCUAAGUACCUCAAGGUUCAGGCCCACGGAAGGAGUCGGGGGAGCGAGGCCCGGUGAUCUACGUGUGAAGGAGCUUGGACAGGACCUCACAAACGCCAGGGAGACGGCGAGGGGGUUCGUGCGUUUGUAACGUCUUGACAUCGCUGAUCCUCCCGCAGGCGGUCUCACGCCCUGCCCGUCCUGGGUUCACGGUUUUUCAUCACCUGCGGCUGUCCUGCGAUCGACCACAGCUGUGCAGGAGGGGCAGGAGGCUGGUAGCUCAGGGAUGUCUCGUCUGUGAGUUACAGCUGCACGCUCUCCAGGAAAGAAGGAAUUUCCUCUUCUCUGGAAACCCCACCACACAGCUGGUUUCUCAUUGGUGCUGCUUGCCCAUUCCCUGAGCUGUGACUGCCAGAGGAGUGGGAGGUUGGUGGUGCCUCCAGCCCAUCAGGGGCAGGCCCUGGGACCGCCUGGGAACAGGAGGACUAUGGCACAAACCGAGUGAGUGAUGGGAGCAACCCGCAGGGCUCUGCCACAUCCCUGUCUUCCUUCACUGACAUGAAACGCAGAAAAGGCAGCUUUGCCACAACACAGGAGCACGCACCGAAUGUGGCCGCCCAGGGCUCUGUCCUUGACCCUGUUGUCCAGGACUGUUUACCAAGGGCUGACAGGCACUGAGUGCCCCGUGCACCUGGCCAGACACUGCACUCAUGCAGCGGAAAGGACAGUGAACGAGACUUUGUCCCUGGCCUCCAAAGGCUUAGGGCGUAGUGGCUGUCAUGAGGCACAGUGACAAGGGCCAGGAGGGGGACCUCUUAGGGGGCCAUGCAGUGAUGGAAGCCAGAAGGAAUGAAGGCCUGCAGUGAGGAUGGAGUGGUCGGCCUGAAGCCAUCUCUAGCAAGUGGUCAGGACGCUGAUUGUUCUGCGCAGGUUGGAGGUAGGUGGUGAGUCUGAGAAAGGGGCCGGAAAGACUCCCCAGCAACUGCUGGCAAAGGGUGAAGGGCACGUUCCCACAGGAUUCAAGCCAGCUGCCUUUGGAGGGGAGACGGGCACUCAGUUUAGGCGCUCCUACAGCAGGGUCAGCAAGACAAGCAGGUUGCGGCAAGGGUCUGCGCACUGCUGUGUAAAUGUAGGGGCAUCGGGGGGCAGAAAGACCAGGGGAGAAGUGUGCAUCACCCUUGGGGUUAAGGGACAGUUGUCUGCUAGGUGUUGCUUCCUGGAGAUGGCUGAAAAGCCAGUCCAGUCUGCAGGGACCAGGCCACCACCCACCUGAUGUGGGAGCAUUUCCCCCAAUCCCUGCUGGGCUGCUGAAUCUGGGGGACAUAGGGAAGCUGAGGCUGGUGUUCUGAGUAGUGGCAGAGCUGAGCCACAGGGCAUGUCUGAGGUCAGCCCCGAGCAAAAUGGAAUAGGGACUCAGGGUGGGUCAGGUAACUGGAAAGCGGGCACUGUGCACGCAGCCCUUGAGGGGAGCCAGGGUGGGUGGGGAUCCCCCACUGUGUGCAGAAGGCAGCAGCCUUGGAAGCAGGGUGUGCUCCUCGGUGUGGUCGCUCGAUACCAGAAAAUGACUCUAAAAACUGAAGAGUGUUUGAGUUUCAUUCACACAAAACAUGGACAUCAUCUGUGAGGCUCUGUCCCAGAGAGACAGGGCCAUCCCUCAUGUCUGUUAUUGGGUUGUAGAUAAACAAAAGUAUAAAUCAAACAAACUGCAAAUUA
rnacentral:lncRNA from 1 species